GGGGUUGUGGCUCAGUGGUAAAGUGCUUGCCAAGCAUGGUGCAAGGCCCUGGGUUCGAGCCUCAGCACCACA
rnacentral:tRNA from 1 species